rnacentral:pre_miRNA from 13 species
GUCGUCCCACCCGUAGAUCCGCCCUUGACAUACCAUGACAUACCAUGGGCGGAUCUAGGGGUGGGACCGGG